rnacentral:rRNA from 1 species
AUUGAACGCUGGCGGCAGGCCUAACACAUGCAAGUCGAACGAGUGGCGGACGGGUGAGUAAUGUCUGGGAAACUGCCUGAUGGAGGGGGAUAACUACUGGAAACGUUAGCUAAUACCGCAUACCAUCCGAUGUACCCAGAGGGGAUUAGCUUGUUGGAGGGGUCAAGGCGAACCAAGGCGACGAUCCCUAGAUGGUCUGCGAGGAUGACCAUCCACAAUGGAACUGAGACACGGUCCAGACUCCAACUGGAGGCAGCAAUGGGGAAGAUUGCACAAUGGGCGCAAGCCUGAUGCAGCCAUGCCGCGUGUAAGAAGAAGGCCUGCGGGUUGUAAAGUCCUUUCAGCGGGGAGGCGUUACCCGCAGAAGAAGCACCGGCUAACUCCGUGCCAGCCGCCGCGAUAAUA